rnacentral:rRNA from 1 species
AACGAACGCUGGCGGCAUGCCUAACACAUGCAAGUCGAACGAGACCUUCGGGUCUAGUGGCGCACGGGUGCGUAACGCGUGGGAACCUGCCCUUAGGUUCGGAAUAACUCCCCGAAAGGGGUGCUAAUACCGGAUAAUGUCUUCGGACCAAAGAUUUAUCGCCUUUGGAUGGGCCCGCGUUGGAUUAGCUAGUUGGUAGGGUAAAAGCCUACCAAGGCGACGAUCCAUAGCUGGUUUGAGAGGAUGAUCAGCCACACUGGGACUGAGGCACGGCCCAGACUCCUGCGGGAGGCAGCAGUGGGGAAUAUUGGACAAUGGGCGAAAGCCUGAUCCAGCAAUGCCGCGUGAGUGAUGAAGGCAUUAGGGUUGUAAAGCUCUUUUACCCGGGAUGAUAAUGACAGUACCGGGAGAAUAAGCUCCGGCUAACUCCGUG